GAGAAAGGCCAAGAAGUAUAGCUCAGUGGGAAGAGUGACUGGUUGGCACCCGGGAGGCUGUGGAUCGAUUCCAGGUGUGAGUGAGUGAGAUUGGCAUAGGGAGGAUAGCAGUGAGUGAGAUAGGGAGUAUAGCUCAGUGGGUGAGUGAGAUAGGGAGGAUAGCUCAGUGGGUGAGUGUGAUAGGGAGAAUAGGAGUGAGUGAGAAAGGCCAAGGACUAUAGCUCAGUGGGAAGAGUGACUGGCUGGCACCCGGGAGGCUGGGGAUCGAUUCCAGGUGUGAGUGAGAUUGGCAUAGGGAGGAUAGCUCAGUGGGUGAGUGAGCUAGGGAGUAUAGCUCAGUGGGUGAGUGAGAAAGGCCAAGGAGUAUAGCUCAGAGGGAAGAGUGACUGGCUGGCACCCGGGAGGCUGGGGAUCGAUUCCAGGUGUGAGUGAGUGAGAUUGGCAUAGGGAGGAUAGCAGUGAGUGAGAUAGGGAGUAUAGUUCAGUGGGUGAGUGAGAUAGGGAGUAUAGGAGUGAGUGAGAAAGGCCAAGGAGUAUAGCUCAGUGGGUAGAGUGACUGGCUGGCACCCGGGAGGCUGGGGAUCGAUUCCAGGUGUGAGUGAGUGAGAUUGGCAUAGGGAGGAUAGCAGUGAGUGAGAUAGGGAGUAUAGUUCAGUGGGUGAGUGAGAUAGGGAGUAUAGGAGUGAGUGAGAAAGGCCAAGGAGUAUAGCUCAGUGGGUAGAGUGACUGGCUGGCACCCGGGAGGCUGGGGAUCGAUUCCAGGUGUGAGAGAGAUUGGCAUAGGGAGGAUAGCAGUGAGUGAGAUAGGGAGUAUCGCUCAGUGGGUGAGUGAGAUAGGGAGUAUAGCUCAGUGGGUGAGUGUGAUAGGGAGUAUAGGAGUGAGUGAGAAAGGCCAAGGAGUAUAGCUCAGUGGGUAGAGUGACUGGCUGGCACCCGGGAGGCUGGGGAUCGAUUCCAGGUGUGAGUGAGUGAGAUUGGCAUAGGGAGGAUAGCAGUGAGUGAGAAAGGGAGUAUCGCUCAGUGGGUGAGUGUGAUAGGGAGUAUAGGAGUGAGUGAGAAAGGCCAAGGAGUAUAGCUCAGUGGGUAGAGUGACUGGCUGGCACCCGGGAGGCUGUGGAUCGAUUCCAGGUGUGAGUGAGUGAGAUUGGCAUAGGGAGGAUAGCAGUGAGUGAGAUAGGGAGUAUAGCUCAGUGGGUGAGUGAGAUAGGGAGUAUAGCUCAGUGGGUGAGUGUGAUAGGGAGUAUAGGAGUGAGUGACAAAGGCCAAGGAGUAUAUAGCUCAGUGGGUAGAGUGACUGGCUGGCACCCGGGAGGCUGGGGAUCGAUUCCAG